rnacentral:tRNA from 1 species
AUUUUUAUAGUGUAACUAACACUUAACAUUUUCGUUGUUAAAAUGAUUUAUAUCUAAAAAUA